AGAAACAACAUUGUUUACUGCCUGAGAAAAACAGAAGAAAAAACUAUUCUACUACGUACGUUUACAGCGAUGGGAGAAGGUAGCAUGAGACAAGAACACAGAAGUGAACAAUCUGUACGUUAUUUUAUUGUUACAAAUUAUUAAGUACAUAGGCAAUUGUGUUUCUAUCAACAGAUCGUACAUGAAAUUUUAAAUCCAUGCAGUGGCAGUGCCCACACACAUCGUGUGAACACGUGGUUUUAAACAAAUAAACAAGUAUUUACUAAUUGAUUCUGAGCACAUAGAGUACCUAUAGGCUAUUUAUUAAUUGACAGAUAAAACAGUUGAAGGCCUGUCAUUCACUUCCAGUGUCGUAUCCAUUUUUUUUAUUUAAAAAAAGGGGGGCUAGAUAUAUAAUUAAUGAAAGCUGAAAGGCUAAAUCCAUUUACAUUCCUGCCAAAUUGGGCAAUUAUCUGUCACUAUUUGCAAGUUGGGAUUUCCACUAUUUGCGGGUCGGGAUUUCCCCAACGGAGGCAGUUGUGGUCCUUGGACUAAGAAAAUUAACUCAAAUUAUCCGUUUUCUACACUUUCGUCAUGCUUGUAGUACUUUAAUAUUAUAUUUGGUAUAUACCGGUAGUUUUAUCACGACAAGUUUCAGACGAAGUUUGGUCUUUUUUUUUUUUGGUCUGAUGAUUUUUUGCAGAGCAUAUUUAACAAUUGUAUCAUCCUGAUUAUACCCAUUUUACAUUUUCUUUAAAAAACUAAGUUAAGGAAACUAUAUGAUUUUAAAACAGGCAACAAAAACAAAUUAUGAGGGAAAGACUACUAUAGGUAUAGGAAGAUGUGGUAUGAGUGCCAAUGAGAUAACUCUCCAUCCAAGUAACAAUUUAUAAAAAGUAAACCAUUACAGGUCAAGGUACGGCCUUCAACACGGAGCCUUGGCUCACACCGAACAGCAAGCUAUAAAGGGCCCCAACAAUUACUAGUGUAAAACCAUUCAAACCGGAAAACCAACUGUCUAAUCUAUAUAAAAAUGAGAAACACCUAUGCACUACUAACAACAGACGACGACAACUGUACAUCAGAUUACAGCCACAAGAAAAGAGUUAACACUUAGUACAAAUGCAAGAAAAGAACAUGUAGAAAUUGAAAUUAACGAGCAAAUUUUAACAGCAAAAAACAUCCAAGAUAUCUGUUAAAAAUUUAUUUGAUAAACUUGAUGCAUUUUCAUAUUGUAGACUGUAAAAUUAAAAACAUCUUAAAUCUGAAUGUGAUUUUUUUUAUUUAGAUGCAUAUAUUUUUUUCAGGGUCCUCCAUAAUUCUUUGAUUCAGCGGGAAAAAUGGCAAAAUUUCAUUUGGUGCCUCAAAGUUGUUCACAAUAAUUCUUAGUCAGUUACAUUAUUUUAAAUUCUAUAUUAUAUAGCAAGUAACUUGCAAAAUUCACUGGAAAACAAAUUUGAAACCCUGUUCAUCCUAACCAACCUCAAGACUACUUUUUACUUAUCCUCAGUAGCUGUAUGAACCUUUUUACGUAAAAGAAAUAAUUGUUAUACGUCCGUCAAAAUUUUGACGGGACGUAUUAUGGUAUACAAAUGUCUGGCGUCCGUCUAUCUAUCUGUCCGGCGUAAACAUGAAAAUAAGAUUAAAACUUUUUGAGUUACAGGACUUCGUAACUAAAACAGGGGUGUUUUUUUCACAUGUCGAGCUGUAUCUCAAAAACCAUUUAUGAUUAUUGUUUAAAAAUUAACACACUUCUUAGUUAUAUUUUUCUAAAGAUUUUUAUAUUUUUUGGUGAUGAUUCAAAAUUUUAUUUCAUAGUUAUUGAGUUUUUUGUAAAAAAAAAAAGGAGGGGGGGGUUUCACAUGUCACACCGUAUCUCAAAAACUAUUUAUGAAUAUUGCUUCAAACUUUACACACUUCUUAGUUAUAUUAAUCCAAAGAUCUGUAUAAUUUUUGGUGAUGAUUAAAAAUUUUAUUUUAGAGAUAUUGAGUUUUUUGUAAAAAGGAAGGGUUUUCACAUGUCGUGCCGUAUCUCAGAAACUAUUUAUGAUUAUUGCAUAAAACUUCACACACAAGAGUUAGACGACGGGCGUAUCAUGCGCUCGUGGCGCAGCUGUUUAUUUACUUUUGUGAUUUAAUUGUUACUGUUUUUUUUACAAACAGAAUGUGUCUCAGAGUCCUUUCCUGGGUUGGUUGACGCAACCGAAACCAUGAUGAAGAGUGAAAUGUCCAGGUUCCUUUAAAUAUGCCCCUGAAAGACGUGAAGGUGGAGGGAGGAACGAAAAAAACAAGAGGCAGGAUGAGGACAUUUCAAAUUCCAUUCCAGAUACUGAAAAUAAAUAAAUGCUCUUUU
rnacentral:lncRNA from 1 species